CAGGUGGGGUCUACUCUGAACACCAGAAGGUAGGCUCGGAAGCAGCCAUCGUGUUUGGAAAGCGUAAUAGCUCACUGGUCUAGUAGCACCCUGCUUAUACAUGUUCGGUAUUUUAAAUAGCCGAAGCCCGCCUAUGACAA
rnacentral:rRNA from 1 species